rnacentral:rRNA from 1 species
AGGAAAAGAAACCAACAGGGAUUGCCCUAGUAACGGCGAGUGAAGCGGCAACAGCUCAAAUUUGAAAUCUGGCGCAAGCCCGAGUUGUAAUUUGUAGAGGAUGCUUCUAGGUAGCGACCGGUCUAAGUUCCUUGGAACAGGACGUCAUAGAGGGUGAGAAUCCCGUAUGUGACUGGCCCGCACCUUCUACGUAGCUCCUUCGACGAGUCGAGUUGUUUGGGAAUGCAGCUCUAAAUGGGAGGUAAAUUUCUUCUAAAGCUAAAUACCGGCCAGAGACCGAUAGCGCACAAGUAGAGUGAUCGAAAGAUGAAAAGCACUUUGGAAAGAGAGUUAAAAAGCACGUGAAAUUGUUGAAAGGGAAGCGCUCACAACCAGACUUCUGGGCGGUGUUCCGCCGGUCUUCUGACCGGUCUACUCACCGUCCCGAGGCCAACAUCAUCUGGGACCGCCGGAUAAGACCUUAGGAAUGUAGCUCCCCUCGGGGAGUGUUAUAGCCUGUGGUGAUGCGGCGCGUCUCGGGUGAGGUCCGCGCUUCGGCAAGGAUGUUGGCGUAAUGGUUGUCAGCGGCCCGUCUUGAAACACGGACCAAGGAGUCUAACAUCUAUGCGAGUGUUCGGGUGUCAAACCCCUACGCGUAAUGAAAGUGAACGGAGGUGGGAAGGGUAACCUGCACCAUCGACCGAUCCUGAUGUCCUCGGAUGGAUUUGAGUAAGAGCAUAGCUGUUGGGACCCGAAAGAUGGUGAACUAUGCCUGAAUAGGGUGAAGCCAGAGGAAACUCUGGUGGAGGCUCGCAGCGGUUCUGACGUGCAAAUCGAUCGUCAAAUUUGGGUAUAGGGGCGAAAGACUAAUCGAACCAU